rnacentral:lncRNA from 1 species
GAAUCCGGUGACUACACCAUCUUUAUGGGUCUUGAUAAGUACGAAAAUGAAGAACUCAUCAAAUAUGGCUUCCCUGAAGACAUCUGGUAACGACCCCUUUCUUGAUUUUAUUUUUGCUGUUUUGGGUAUAAUUGACUACUUUUUUUGGGUUCAAAAUUAGACCUUUUUUGUUGUUUUGGGUAGAAUUGAGUGCAUAUUUUGGUGCAAUCAGACCUUUUUAGUUGUUUUGGGUAAAAUUGAGUACAUUUUUGGUGCAAGAUUAGACCUAUUUGGCUCUCACCAGUAACAACCAUUUUUCUUCAAUUCUCUCUCUCUUUUUUGUUUGAGUACAUAUAAUGUUGGAAGAAUAGACCUUUUGUACUAAUUAAAGAAAAUGAGCUCUUGUUUGUACUUACAGAAGUUGUGUUUAGAGGAAUUUUGGGUUGUGUGGUAUGUGGUUUGACUUUGUGCUAUGUGCUGUUAAGUUCAUAUUCUUAAAUUGCCAUUAUACUGGUUUGUUGUUCUUGAUUUCCUCCUUUGGCCGUUCAUUAUUUAGUAUUUCAGCUGAUCAAGUAAGAGUAUUUCUUUUUACCUUUUCUGAGUCUUAGUUUUCAUCUUGCAAAAAGUUUUGCUAAUACUCUUUUCCUAUAUAAACUUGUAUAUGCAUAGACAGGUCACAUUGGUUGUGUGUACAUUUGAGCUUCACUUUGUUUCUUAAAUUCAGUUGUGAUAGCUAUAGUUGAGUGCAUAUGUUGUUGCAAAUUGAGAAAGAGCAAGCAAAGAAGAGGUCUCUCUCAUUAUUUAGUGUUUUACAAAUAUCUUAAUAUAUGAACUGGGACGUAGUGAGAGACAUAGAUUCUUCCUAAGUAGUAUCAAUAAUUUCUUGUAUUUUGAAUCUGGGACACAAGUGCAGAAUCUACAGAUUCUCAACAGAAUGCUUGCAGACUACAGAAUGUACCAGAUUCUGUUUCAAUUCUUCGCUGAUUCUUAAUAUUCCCCUAUAGUUGGACGAAUGAUUAUUUGAAUUGACAAAACUAGUAUCAUUAAUUCUAACUCAAUCUUUUGUUUGAUGAAGUGGUAAUCUGUUUGUAUGUGUAUCGUUUUAAACACAUGAUUUGAAGCAAGUAUGCAGUGUGCUUGAUUGUCAAAAGUCAGUUUUAUUUGUGCAUUCCCUCCUUAUUCAAACUCAUAAAGAAUCUGCUUCAACCACAUUAAUUUACGUAUGACAAAAACUUUGGCUUGAUGCUGUUCUUCUGCGUUGAUUGGCCGCACAUCUUAUUUUUAUUUUCGGAGAUAUUAAAUUACCUCCACGUUCUCAAAAAAGAUAUUAAAUUACCUCCAAUUAGAACAUGAAAAUUUUGAAGUAGAUUGUUUUUGGAAGGAGAGCCUUCCUUGCGUGCAUCAGAGUAACCAACGAUCUGCGUUUGUCCGAUACACCAUGUUCUAGAGAUAUGUUAACAUAUCUUAGAAUGAGAAUUAUUGCAUUUCAAGUCUGAAGGAGCUUGUAGGAACUAUAGUAGUAAGUAACCGCACUAAUAGUGAUUGAAUGAUUGUGGAAUAAUUGAGUUUACCAUACUUUGUCAUGAAAGAAAUUUGAGUGUACGGCAUACCAAAAAGAAAUUUAUGCUCCUUUUUCUUAAAUACAUGUUUUUCCAUGCCUAUGGGGUGAAUGUUGUGUCUUAGUGUCCCUUGCCUUUUUUCUGUUAUCACUCCAUGAGUUAUCUGGAUUGAGAAAGUGAAUUCUGUUAGCCCCAUGCUACAUUUGGAUACACAAAAGCUGUUCUUUCGAUUUAUAUAUACCUCGACUAAUCUAUCGGUUACCUACUAUCUCCAUUAGCAAGGCACCAAGUAAUUCUAUCCCAUCAAGAUAGGCCAAAUGAAAGUAGAUAUCUUUAACUAACCUUCAUGAGUUAUCUGGAUUAAGAAAGUGAAUUCUUUUGGCCCCAUGUUACGUUUGGAUACUCAAAAGUUGUUCUUUCGGUUUAUGUAUACCUCGACUAAUCUAUCGGUUACUUAGUAUUUCCAUCAACACGGUACCGAGUAACUCUAUCCAUCAAGAUUAGGCCAACUGAAAGUAGAUAUCUUUAACUAACCUUUUCCUUUUCAUUCCUGAUAAUGUUGGAGGUUAUGAAAAUGUGGGCACAGGUUAUUAUAGUUGCUUAAUCUUUAAAAAAGAUUAGAUUGCUGUAGAGCACAUGUUAAUAUAUGUGGACAAUCUAGAUGAUUAACUUAUGUGUAUCUUUUUAAAUUCUUUGAUACAUCCGUUAAUUUUAUUUGACGAUGUUUACUAUGAUGUAGGUUCCAUGUGGAUAAAAUGUCAUCAGCCCAUGUUUACUUGAGAUUGAACAAAGGUCAGACGUUUGAUGAUAUACCUGAAGGUGUAUUGGAAGAUUGCGCUCAACUUGUCAAGGCUAAUUCUAUCCAAGGUAAAUAUUCCUGUCCCGAAAAAUGUAGCAAAUAAUUCAUAGGUUGAUGUCUUUAUAUCUCCCGUCCCACCAAAUCAAAUUAAAAAAAGAAUGGGAAAAGAAGCGUCAUUACACCUGCCUUAGGAUCUUUGACGGAACAUGGUUUUCUGGUCAAGUCUAAUCCUUUUUUGAGGAUACGAGGGGAUGCUUCAUCUAAAGCAGUUUAUUUUAUAUCUUCUUGUUGAAAGUUAAAAAGAUUAAUGAGGUUAUAUCUUGGAAUAUGUCUAGAUGUACGUGACCUAAAACCCUUACAUAAGGACAUAUCUUUGUAUGUUGUUAUUAGAUUAAGCAAGCUCUCUUUUUACACAUGAUAUCAUGACCCACAAUCCUAUGCGAUUUUGGUAAAAACUUAAGUAGCUUUUGCCUAAGGCUGCAUGCCUGGUCAAAACUUUUCCUUCUUUCUUAAGUCUUGUAUUGUCUAUUUUAGUUCCACUGCACCUCAUCUUCUCUUCAAUAGCCUGUUGUCAUUUUUCUUCCAAUAGUUCUUCCCCGGACCCUGCGUAAACGCUGGAUGCUUUGUGCACAGGGCUGCCCUUUUAGUUUGGCUUUAGCUCUCUUUCUCGUCUCUUCCGGCUAGUAUUCAAUCUUACCCGUCAUUAUUCAUGUCAUAGUAAAGUUAGCUCGUUCCACAUUUAACAUUAGCAUCUAGUCAGCUGACACGUCUCCAGUCUAGUGAAAUGUCUACAUUGUUUUGUGUCACAUCACUCUCUGAGCCACGCUUAGUUAGCGGUAUGUCGCCUGUCUAGUGACACAUAUUCAAUUAGUGUCCUAUCGGCCCCAUGUCACCAUGCAGCGGUACUCUCUAGUCAACCUCUUUGUAAUGUGACAGCAUCAUCAUUGUUCAGCCAGCUCCUCAGAUCCAUGUCUUCAUCCGUAACACCUUACUUUCUAAUCAAUGCUCCUUCAGCGUCACAUCCUCCCGUAGUGAUAUGUCACUUUCAAAUUUAGAUAUGUGAAACUGUUUCGCCACCUUGAGUUUGAGGCAGCAUGUUGAUAGUAAAGGAUUAAUAAAGCUGUUCUUAGAUCACAA